rnacentral:piRNA from 1 species
UCAAUCGAAGCAAUCGAACUC